UGGGGAAUAUUGCGCAAUGGGCGAAAGCCUGACGCAGCGAUGCCGCGUGGGGGAAGAAGGUUUUCGGAUUGUAAACCCCUGUCUUUGGGGACGAUAAUGACGGUACCCAAGGAGGAAGCUCCGGCUAACUUCGUGCCAGCAGCCGCGGUAAUACGAAGGGAGCGAGCGUUGUCCGGAAUUACUGGGUGUAAAGGGAGUGUAGGCGGGAAGAUAAGUCAGGCGUGAAAUGCAUGGGCUCAACCCAUGAGCUGCGUUUGAAACUAUUUUUCUUGAGUGAAGUAGAGGAUGGCGGAAUUCCCAGUGUAGCGGUGAAAUGCGUAGAUAUUGGGAGGAACACCAGUGGCGAAGGCGGCCAUCUGGGCUUUUACUGACGCUGAGGCUCGAAAGCGUGGGGAGCAAACA
rnacentral:rRNA from 1 species